rnacentral:rRNA from 1 species
UACGAAGGGUCCAAGCGUUAUCCGGAUUUAUUGGGUUUAAAGAGUGCGUAGGCGGCUUAUUAAGUCAGUGGUGAAAGACUUCAGCUUAACUGAAGAACUGCCAUUGAUACUGAUGAGCUUGAGUACAGUUGAGGUGGGCGGAAUGUGUCAUGUAGCGGUGAAAUGCUUAGAUAUGACACAGAACACCGAUUGCGAAGGCAGCUCGCUAAACUGUAACUGACGCUGAGGCACGAAAGCGUGGGGAGCAAACAGG